rnacentral:rRNA from 1 species
UACGAAGGGGGCUAGCGUUGUUCGGAUUUACUGGGCGUAAAGCGCACGUAGGCGGAUCGUUAAGUUGGGGGGUGAAAUCCCAGGGCUCAACCCUGGAACUGCCUUCAAUACUGGCGAUCUAGAGUCCGGAAGAGGUGAGUGGAACUCCUAGUGUAGAGGUGGAAUUCGUAGAUAUUAGGAAGAACACCAGUGGCGAAAGGCGGCUCACUGGUCCGGUACUGACGCUGAGGUGCGAAAGCGUGGGGAGCAAAGCAGG